CCUCUCUCUCCGUCCCUGUCUGACUCCAGUCCUCCCCUUCUGCUUUCCUCCGUCUCUUUGUUUUUGGUUCAUUUUAAAUUGUAAUUUGAAGGUUCAUCAUCUCCCUCCUCUGAGUGCCAGGCGGGUUGCUUCAACCAAAGUUCACUUGGUGUCAGUUUGCCUGUCUCUCACUGUUACAGCAAUUUUUCUUUGUAGUCGCUAUUUUUCUUACUUCUUUUGUCUUUAAAGAUUAUUACAUUAUAAGUGCCUAAUAUGUACAGUGGAAUAAUAAUGUCAGUGGUUGCUUAGAAAUGAUAAAAACAUUCCACUCCUGAUGGCAGCCAACAUGUGUGUCGUUUAUGAAGUUACACAUGUCAAAGAACUUUGCAGCAAUAGUUUAAGUUAUUUAGCUUGUAAUGAGUGAGAAAACGGGUUAAUUUUUCACAGUUAAAUUUUCACCAUUAAUUUGUAAAUACCAGUUUUAAACUACAUGUACAAUUAGCUGGCUAAAUAUUUAAUAAUCCAAAUUUGUGUCCUCAAUCCUCAAAUCCUCAAAUUAAAUAUUCACCUCCGAACUAAAUAUUUAGCUUGUUAACUUUAUUAACUAAUUAUUUAGUUGUGAACACCUGUGCUCUAUACCAACAAGCCUUACAAUGUUGCUGUUGCAUAAUCAAAUUUUUUUUUUUUUUUUUUUAAUAAUCGUUUUUUUAAAAAGUGACUUUUUUUUCCACAAUUGCUGCAAAUGCCACGCUAAAUGUCAAGACGACAGAACAUGAAAUCCUGUAGGUUUGAUUAUCUUUAGAACUUUGAAAACGGUAACAAGACCACAAUCACUUUAGCUAAAAACAAUAAUUUUUUUAAAAGUUAUUUUUUCUCUAAGUAAAUACACUGAAGGUUUGGUGUCCUGUGGAUUUAUUUUAAGGCUUCUCUUCCUUAUCUUUUCAAGUUAGUUUUCUAAGAUAUUAGCUUGAUAUACGAGCACAAGUUUCAAGCCUCGUUAAGUUCGUUCUCUUUUAAAAUCAGUUCUUACUACUAGUUGUUCGCUGGAUUAACUCAUGAAUUAAUUUCUAUAAAACAUUGUAGCUUAUUAAACAGAGAAAACCUGAGCCUCCAAAAGCCCAAAAAGUUAAUAAUGAGGGAAGACUUUGAUGCUCUGCAUUAUUAAUAAUACAUAAUCUAAAUACAUUGCCAUGUUACUGUUAAAUAGGCUAUUAAUGCUUCUUGGAAGGCAUCCAAAGAGAAUUGUUAUCAAAAGAGUUCAACUUAAAACCUAUCUGCUCUACAAGCACAAAAUGCAACUUCAAAUUUCUUUUACUUAAAGUUAGCUUGAUUUGUUUGUUGUUUUUUUUGCUGUUUUCUAAUGGCAACAUCUUUUGGUGUUCUUGAUAUGAGACACACCCACCUGGGGCUCCCAAGUUUCUUCAAUCAAACUGGAACUUUUUUUUUUUGCUACACUAUUCAGAUCUAGUUUGAUUUUAUUUUUUCCCCUCCCUCUCUCCCCCCGUCUCUCUUUCUGUUCGCCCUACUUUCUCUCGUUCCCAUAUUUGCUUGUGUUACGCUCACAGCCAUUGUUUGCUAACUUCUGACUUUCGCUGGGAGUCUUUGCUCGUACGCAGCAUCUGACUGUAUGUCCUCCGUGCGUGUGUGUGUCUGUGUGUGUGAUGGGUGGAAUGGGGCUAUGCAUACAGCGGUGUGUGUUCAAUUGCGUUGCAUCUCUGCUGAUUGGUUCGACUAAAGCAUGGACUAUGUUGGCAGUGUGCCGGCAUGUCGUCGGUCAUGCAUGAGUUUCACAGCGCAGUAGGAGACCAAGGGGGAGAAGCUUGUUGGCCAAGACUUUGUGGUCAUACUGAAGCUGUAGCUUGCAGAGCCGAUGAAAGGGGAUGAUGCAUGAUUUUUGUUUCAUUUAACCUUUAUCUGCCAAGGUUAGACCCAUUGAGAUCAAAGAUCUCUGUUACAAAGGAGAACUGGUUUUAGAAAUGAACGCAUACCAUUUACUGAUGAAGAUGUCCAGUCAGUUUUAGAGUAGGAUAGUGAGAGGACCGCAGAUGGUAAUAAAUCUCAAUGCCCCACGGUGUACACCAUCUUCCAUGGAGCGAAGCGUUCAUGUAAUCUGCAUCUGUUCAUCCCGCUAAUUUCUGUUUCACACAAAAGCAAAAGCAGGACGUAGUUCUCUAAUCAAAUCCUGAAAGGAUUUUCAGUUCUUUCCAAUUUACUGAAUGCAGUCCUUUUAAAAGUCAUCAAUUAAAAGUCCUAGAGAUUUAAAAGGAGUCACGAACGCUAUUUCUUGUCCACCCCUCGUCAAGAUUUAAAAUUUUGAAAACACAGACAUUUUAUUUUCUCUACAUUCGCAGCAAGUUGCAGUUGGGAAAGUUGUUGUGGCAUUUCAUCAAAUGCAUCUUGUACAGACUGAAAGCAGGAUAUAAUAAUGUCAUCUGCAUAAAUAUUUAAAUAAAUAAUAUGUAAAUAAAUAAUGAGUAGUAAUGGACCCAGCACAGAACCUUGAGGGACACCUUUUUUCAUUUGCAAUACCUCAGAGAAAGAGCUUUCCAUUUAAGCCAUCUCAACAAAUUAGUGGGAUAAUUUGCAAAUUAAAUGUUGUAACUCAUUAAUUCAGUCUUCAAGGAGUUAUUGUAGAUAGCGAUGUCUGUUGGCAGGAAAGAUCUCCUGUAGCAGUCUGUAUUACAGCGAAUCUGACGAAGCUUCUGGCUGAAGAUACUCUGUUUUCCCGAGACAGUCCCAUGAAGAGGAUGAGAUCCUGCUUACAAUUAUUUUUUCUCCCUUCAAUACAGUAUUUAUACGAAGUUUUCAUAUAAAGGAAAUUUAAAAUGUGAUUAAUAUUAAAAAAAAUUUAAAUGGUGCAGAAAUUGUUCUGGUAACCCGUGUCUGGCUUGAAAUCCUAUGAGCUAUAAAAACAUCUGUCUAUGCAGAAGUAAAAAUAGGACCACUAGACAUUAUAUAACCUUUGUUUUUUAGAUCAAUUAAAUUAGAUAGUUGAAAAACCAUCUUUCUUAAUCAAACAGAAAUGUUGCCAAGACCGAUCUCAAAACAAAAAGCUUUUAUUCUGAAAUAAAAAUCCCAGAAAAGGCAGGUAUGACGCAUCUUGCCAUGGUACUCGCGGCUGUUUAAGUGUGCAUGUACACAGGGACGUAGAAGGCUUCUGGAGAGUCCCUUCCUUCAAUAUGAUGCCAUAUUUUAUAGUAGCUUUUGUUCAUGUUUGUUCCUUAGCAUGUUGUCUGUCUACAAAACCCGUCUCCUGUAACUUUGCUUUCUUUGCUGUGAAAAAGUUUGUAAAAGCUUAAAACUGCUGAAUGAUCACAACUCUGCACUUUCCUGGUCAUGCUUGGCUUAAAUCUUAGCGCAAACAUUUUGAGACCUUUUGCUCAAAGUGAAUACAUUUCAUUGUCAAGGAAAGUUGUAGUAAUUUAAAGAGUGUAAUUUUCCUUUGAAGAUACCACUUUUUCUAAGAGAACGUCUAUCUGAUGAGAAUGGCUUUCUUUGUUUGCUAGCCGAGUUUGACGUGGCUGUCAUGAAGUGCAAUAAUCCUCUGCGAUGUGCAUGUGAGGCAUGGGGGGUUUUUCUCGUCCUCUUGCUAGUUCUCUGCCUCUUUCUGUCCUGCCUGUCGGUGAAUAUCUCUGUUCGCUUCAUUCCUUCAUGCUUUGUGAAGAUGUGGGAUGAUUUCCCUCAUACAUUUUGUUUUCUGUGCGGAUUCCAGGCAUGAGUAAUGAGCAAGUGUUGCGGCAAAAGAGUUAGUUGAGAUUUAUCAUUUGAAACGUCUCAUUAGGUAAAAGCUGAGGAGUGUAGAAAAUAAAUCUGGCUGUAGGUAACCAACGCACACCGAGACUGCAGCUGCUGACUAUAGAAUUAUAAUAUGAGUAGACGUUUAACACGUUCAUCUCCGUGGAAAGCCAAAUAAACAAGUCCUUACUUUCACAACUGAUAAUAAACUCCAACUUUCAGGAGGUAAUAACUAGCUUACCUCUUUUCUCUCCUUUGUGUUUCUCUCACUCCCAUCGUUUUCCAAAAAUCUCCCACCCUCAUCUUCUUUUGUC